rnacentral:lncRNA from 1 species
UGCCAAACAACUUUUAGAACAAAAUUUUUAACCUAGACUUUGAGAGUUGAGUGAAGCCUUUUAAAAUGGACAAUAUGUAUGUAAAGAAAACUUUGGGAAUCAGAGGAUACAGGCAUUUGAGCCAACCACUGGUGGCAAAUGGCAGGUGAUGAACAAGUCCGGGAAGUCAUUUUUAAGGGCAUUGUGAUCACAACCAAGAACAUCAAAAAGCUUUGUCUUGGUGGAGUUUGGAAAUCGCUGGUCAUUAUGCCCACUUAGAAGCAGAUCCUUUGAGCUGCACAAACUAAAAAAAGCAAAGAAAGAAGAGAGUGACAUCAUCUGCGUUUCGUGGGCCUGCCCUCCUUUGGAAAUAUUAUUGCCUUUGGUCUCCUUCAUCGCCCACAAGAACAACAGCAGACAUUUCAGGGGGAAAGUUGGGGGCUCUUAGCAAAGGGUUGUUUUCCAUCUGUCAUCAGUUUGGAUUUUGCAUAUCAAUAAAAAAUUAAUAAACUAAUUUCAGGCAUAUAUGACACGGCUAAUGUGGAAGGCCUAUUGUUAGGAGAGAAAUAGUAUAUUCUUAUCAGUGGAUUUAAACAGCUAUUCAUCAUUUCUAAAGGGCAAUUAUUUGGAAUCCAUUAAACUGGAAUUCAUAAUACCCCUGCAUACUGAAUUUUAAAUAGAAAUCUGUAUUUAGAUGAAGGAAUACAUUAGUAUAAGUCAUUAGAGCACUGAAAAUCCAUGACUUGUUCAUUUUUCACUUCUUUUGCAG